CUGUAUAUAAUAUAACAUAAUAAAUAACAAUUGUUUCGAUUGCGAGGUCGAGUCACUAUCUACAUUUCCAUAAUUUGUAUUUACAGUUGUCUGAUGCUUCCUUCGUGUUCUUUAGUUACCGUCCGGUCAUCCUCUUCCGUCUCAUUCUUCUCAAGACCGGCCGGUAGGGUACCUGCCAAAGAUUCUUCGACGCUCAAGUCAGUGUACAUUCCACACAGUAAAUUUAGGACAAUAAUAAAUAUGUAGUAAAUGUGAACUACCUACCUCAUACUUUUGACCUGUAUUUAUAGUUUUUGCCAUGAGAUUAUUAUUAGCGGAACCUUAAUCACGACCCAAUGGCUUUAAUCACAUCUUACCUUAAUCUCGUUCUAAACCGUAGAUUAUGAUCGGCCAUUCAUCAUGAGCCAUUUGGUAAUGUCUUUCCAGACGAUUCCUCGACCGUUCGGUCACUCCACAAAAUCUUUUGGAGACACUUCUCUGACCGUCCAGUCCAUCCAGUACAAUAAUGUAUAAAUUAAAUAUUAAAAAAUAUUAGUAUUAUUAUCAAUAAAAUAUAUAAUAAUAUAAAUAAAUUUUUAUCUUAAUAAUUAAAAACUAAUAAUAUUAAAAAGAUAUUAAUAAUAAUAAUAAUAAUUAUUAUUAUAUUUGUAACAUACCAAAAUAUAUAGUAUAAACUAUAAUAAAGAGAAGUCACAUGCAUGAUAGAGUAAUAUAGUCAUCCAGCAAAAUACAUAAAGUAUUAUAUUCUACAGACAUCCAAAAAUAACUAUAAAGUUUAAAACUCUAUGUAAAAGCCAUUAAUAUACUAAGUACUACAAGCCUAUAACAUCUACUCCGCCGCUUCAGAUCCAUUCAGUGCCUACUCAACAAAAACCUCUUCUCCCUCUGCUCACAUCCAAAGAUGAUCAUAGCAAGGAAAGAAGAAGACAACACAUACAACACAAACAAACAAAAAGGGUAAGCUAGGUUUUUAAAUCAUACAUAUUAUCUAAUAGCAUUUGAAUUAUGAAAGAACAACCAUACAAGUAAACAAACAAACAUCAUAUUAUGUUACAGCUUAAACUAGACUCGUCCGAACUUAGAAUGAAUAUCAAGCUAUGGCGGGUUGUGCACUUGUGGUGACCUCUACUGCUUUGCAAAGCCAUUACCAGUGGGUUUCACUCUACCACACACAAGUGUUAGUCCGUUACCGCGCAAUAGGCCUCCAAGAAGCGUCUACACUAGGACCUCCUACUACUCUCACCACAUGCAUCAAUCUUCUCUAAGUGAGAAUGAAAGAUCAUUAGAAUAUUAGGAUAACCCCCAAGACUAAGCUCCUAUAUUCAUUCUAAACACUACAAUGAUAUCACCAAGAGAUCUUACUUUCAUACUCGAUCUCACCAUUUCAAUCAUAUUCUAUUUUACUUUGGAUCAUAAACAUACCAUUUUCUAUUUAUAAAAUCAAACACAAAGUCAUCCUAAAUCAUAUAUACAUCACACAUCAUCAAUCAACCAAGAAGGAGGAAGAAACGAGUAAAUCAUAACGAGAAAAUUCGCUUAACGCACAAGAUCGCAAAGCGAGACCAGAGGGUUUUUACAAAGCGCACUCCAUGUGUUAUGCGAGCCAUCAAACAGAGAACACCCUCCUUUAAACAUCCGCACAACAACUAAACUAGUCGUGCGAAUUAACACCCAAUUAUUGCAUACCUCACACCCUCGCAUAGUGUCCCAAUUGGCUAUGCUAGAGUACCCUAGACAAUGGCUCAAGUUGUAUCACUCUCGCAAGGCAACCCAAACUCGCCCUUCAUAUUAAUUGGUAUUUUUCCCAAGGCAGCCAAGAUUUGCUAUGCGACUGUAAGGACAGAGAGCACCCUACCUAGGCGACUCGCUGUGCGAAUCCUCUCGCACAGCGAGUCUGCAUAAUCUGCAGAAAUGAAUUUCUGCAGAAUUAUGCAACUCCACCACUCAAAACCAAUUCUAGCCAUUUUAGUGAACUUCUAACACCCCUAGAUCGAUGUAUAUGCUGAAUUGAAC
rnacentral:lncRNA from 1 species